CCGAAGGCCGGGGCGUCAAGUUCGUCCAGCGGCAAAAGGCCACAAAAACGGGUGGGCUGUAGCCUUGGGGGGUGGGGCUGGCCAACUUCGUCCGCCGGACUCAGAAUGCCGCGUGACUUUGCAUGGGGCCUAUGUGUGCCAAAAAUAGGCCGCGGGCAAAGCCGCUCCCAAAAAUAACCGCCCGAAGGCCGGGGCGCCAAGUUCGUCCAGCGGAAAAAGGCCACAAAAACGGGUGGGCUAUAGCCUUGGGGGGUGGGGCUGGCCAACUUCGUCCGCCGGACUCGGAAUGCCGCGAGACUUUGCAAGGGGCCUCCGUGUGCGAAAAAUAGGCUGCAGACAAAGCCGCGCCCAAAAAUUAUCGCCCGAAGGCCGGGGCGCCAAGUUCGUCCAGCGGAAAAAGGCCACAAAAACGGGUGGGCUAUAGCCUUGGGGGGUGGGGCUGGCCGACUUCGUCCGCUGGACUCAGAAUGCCGCGAAACUUUGCAAGGGGCCUCCGUGUGACAAAAAUAGGCCGCGGGCAAAGCCGCGCCCAAAAAUAACCGCCCGAAGUCCGGGGCGCCAAGUUCGUCCAGCGGAAAAAGGCCACAAAAACGGGUGGGCUAUAGCCUUGGGGGGUGGGGCUGGCCCACAUCGUCCGCCGGACUCGGCAUGCCGCGAGACUUUGCGAGGGGCCGCCGUGUGCCAAAAAUAGGCCGCGGGUAAAAUCGCGCCCAAAAAUAACCGCCUGAAGGCCGGGGCGCCAAGUUCGUCCGGCGGAAAAAGGCCACAAAAACCGGUGGGCUAUAACCUUGGGGGGUGGGGCUGGCCAACUUCGUCCGCCGGACUCGGAAUGCCGCGUGACUUUGCAAGGGAUCUCCGUGUGCCAUAAAUAAUUCGCGGUCAAAGCCGCGCCUAAAAAUAACCACCCGAAGGCCGGGGCGCCAAGUUCGUCCAGCGGAAAAAGGCCAGAAAAACGGGUGGGCUAUAGCCUUGGGGGGUGGGGCUGGCCAACUUUGUCCGCCGGACUCGGAAUGCCGCGAGACUUUGCGAGGGGCCUCCGUGUGCAAAAAAUAGACCGCGGUCAAACCGCACCCAAAAAUAACCGCCCGAAGGCCGGGACGUCAAGUUCGUGCAGCGGAAAAAGGCCACAAAAACGGGUGGGCUAUAGCCUUGGGGGGUGGGGCUGGCCAACUUCGUCCGCCGGACUCGGAAUGCCGCGAGAC
rnacentral:lncRNA from 1 species